rnacentral:rRNA from 1 species
AUUGAACGCUGGCGGCAGGCUUAACACAUGCAAGUCGAACGGUAACAUAAAGAAGCUUGCUUCUUUGAUGACGAGUGGCGGACGGGUGAGUAAUGCUUGGGAAUCUAGCUUAUGGAGGGGGAUAACUACGGGAAACUGUAGCUAAUACCGCGUAGUAUCGAGAGAUGAAAGUGUGGGACCUUCGGGCCACAUGCCAUAGGAUGAGCCCAAGUGGGAUUAGGUAGUUAGUGAGGUAAAGGCUCACCAAGCCGACGAUCUCUAGCUGGUCUGAGAGGAUGACCAGCCACACUGGGACUGAGACACGGCCCAGACUCCUACGGGAGGCAGCAGUGGGGAAUAUUGCGCAAUGGGGGCAACCCUGACGCAGCCAUGCCGCGUGAAUGAAGAAGGCCUUCGGGUUGUAAAGUUCUUUCGGUAGCGAGGAAGGCAUUUAGUUUAAUAGACUAGGUGAUUGACGUUAACUACAGAAGAGCACCG